rnacentral:rRNA from 1 species
UACGUAGGGUGCGAGCGUUAAUCGGAAUUACUGGGCGUAAAGCGUGCGCAGGCGGUUAUGCAAGACAGAUGUGAAAUCCCCGGGCUCAACCCUGGGAACUGCAUUUGUGACUGCAUGGCUGGAGUGCGGCAGAGGGGGAUGGAAUUCCGCGUGUAGCAGUGAAAUGCGUAGAUAUGCGGAGGAACACCGAUGGCGAAGGCAAUCCCCUGGGCCUGCACUGACGCUGAGGAGCGAAAGCCAGGGGAGCAAACGGG